UGGGGAAUAUUGCACAAUGGGCGCAAGCCUGAUGCAGCCAUGCCGCGUGUAUGAAGAAGGCCUUCGGGUUGUAAAGUACUUUCAGCGGGGAGGAAGGGAGUAAAGUUAAUACCUUUGCUCAUUGACGUUACCCGCAGAAGAAGCACCGGCUAACUCCGUGCCAGCAGCCGCGGUAAUACGGAGGGUGCAAGCGUUAAUCGGAAUUACUGUGCGUAAAGCGCACGCAGGCGGUUGAUUGAGUCAGAUGUGAAAUCCCCGGGCUCAACCUGGGAGCUGCAGCUGAUACUGGCAAGCUUGAGUCUCGUAGAGGGGGGUAGAAUUCCAGGUAGAGCGGUGAAAUGCGUAGAGAUCUGGAGGAAUACCGGUGGCGAAGGCGGCCCCCUGGACGAAGACUGACGCUCAGGUGCGAAAGCGUGGGGAGCAAACAGG
rnacentral:rRNA from 1 species